GACGAACGCUGGCGGCAUGCCUAAUACAUGCAAGUCGAGCGAACAGAUGAAGUGCUUGCACUUCUGACGUUAGCGGCGAACGGGUGAGUAACACGUAAGGAAUCUACCUAUAAGCGGGGGAUAACAUUCGGAAACGGGUGCUAAUACCGCAUAAUAUCUUCUUCCGCAUGGAAGAAGAUUGAAAGACGGCUCUGCUGUCACUUAUAGAUGACCUUGCGGUGCAUUAGUUAGUUGGUGGGGUAACGGCCUACCAAGACGAUGAUGCAUAGCGGACCUGAGAGGGUGAUCGGCAACAUUGGGACUGAGAAACGGCCCAAACUCCUACGGGAGGCAGCAGUAGGGAAUCUUCCGCAAUGGGCGAAAGCCUGACGGAGCAAUGCCGCGUGAGUGAAGAAGGCCUUCGGGUCGUAAAACUCUGUUAUAAGAGAAGAACAAAUUGUAGAGUAACUGCUACAGUCUUGACGGUAUCUUAUCAGAAAGCCACGGCUAACUACGUGCCAGCAGCCGCAGUAA
rnacentral:rRNA from 1 species